rnacentral:lncRNA from 10 species
CUCUCAUCUCAAAAAAUUAUCCCAAAGAAGCAGCAGGAGGAUGAGAAAGAGGAGAAGGAAGAGGAGGGCCUGGUCCUUGAAGGUCUGCAAUUCUUGUGGAACUCCAAGUGCGCAGGUUUGUCCAGACAGCCACAUGGAACUAUCUCCUGUACAUAGGAUCUUAUUUGGUCAUCCAGGCUGGACUGCAGUGGUGUGAUCAUAGCUCACUGCAGCCUCAAACUGCUGGACUCCAGUGAUCUUCCAGCCUCAGCCUCCCCCGGUAGCAAGGACUACAGGUCUCACUCUCUGUCGCCCAGCCUGGAGUGCAGUGGCAUCAUCUGAGCUCACUACAACCUCCGCCUCCCGGGUUCAAGCGAUUCUCCUGCCUCAGCCUCCUGAGUAGCUGGGACUACAGGCACGCGCCACCACGCCCAGCUAAUUUUCGUAUUUUUAAUAGACAUGGGGUUUCACCAUGUUGGCCAGGCUGCUCUUGAACUGCUAACCUCAAGUGAUCCACCAGCGUUGGCCUCUCAAAGUACUAGGAUUACAGUGCUAGGAGCCACCAUGCCCGGCCGCCUCUCUUUUCUUUUACACAUGAAGAAAAAGUGGUCAGAGAAGUUAACUUGGUCAGUGCCAAAAGCACUGGAAGUGAGUAGGACCAAGCUUUUCAUCUAGAUUUGUUUGUUAGACUCUAAAUCCAAAUUCACAACAAGAUCAGAAUAUGAGAAACCUAAGGAACAAAAUUCUAGGAAUCAUUUCUAGAAACUGUGGCUAUUGAAAAAGCACAGACCUAGGGAAUCAAAUUAUUUUCCCUGCCACCAGCACAUGGGUAGGCCUGUGACAAAUUCCAUGCUCUGGACCCCAGAUUCCUCAGUGAGAAUAGAAGGGGCUAGAGACAUCAGGGAAUUGGAUUUGGUGACUUUAAUACCCACUCAGCUCCAAAGCAUUCUUGAAUGAUGCACGAUUUAUGAAUAUAUAUAUUGAAAUUUACUGAUGGGUGAACAGCUCUCAACAUGAGAUUUUUGUUGUAUGCCUUAAAAAAGAUUAUACAUAAAUAUGCGUGUGUGUGUGUAUGUAUGUUUCGAUGUAUAUGAACCCAUGAUCUGAAAAAUGGCCACUGUGGCUUGUGGAAACCUAUUAAUCUCUGCUGUUCCACCCAACAUCCUCAGAGAAAAAAAUAAACAACUUUUUGAAAGUGCUGCCAUGGGGUCAGACCAAAUACUGUGGCCACUUCCAAGGGGUUUGCCUUGAUUUGCCUGGAUUCCUGUUCAUGUGACAUCUGCCUUCUAAUUCAAGGAUAUGAUCAAUUCAAUGUGUGAGUUAUCAAUCAAGGACUGGCAACAGUGAUGCUGAACAAGCCUGGUGGAAGGAAAGAGAAGGCAGGCCAGAGCCCAGACAGACGCAUUCACAAACCUUACAAAGAGGACAGGCUAAUUAGGGGCUGUAGUUCUCCCUCUCUUUAUAGUUGGUAUAAGAGGAGUGGUAAUCGUAGUGUCCAAAAAUAUAUGGGCUACAUAGUUGCUUAGUAAGCUGUGGGUAUGUGGUUUCUUCUGCAAGGUGCUUUCUUUCUGAUAAAGAGAUUACGUUGUUUGUUUGUUCAUUUAUUGAACAUAUUUACACUUACACACACACACACACACACACACAAUGUUCCAGAUACCGUACUUGGCAAUGGUAGUUAGACCUUGCUCUUGCAAAAUUUAUAAUGAAGUUGGGAAGUGUGGUUUGAUCCCUCAAAGUGUCCAAAUCCUAAUCCCCAG